rnacentral:sRNA from 1 species
UUGGGGAUCUGACCCUGUAGUGAUGACCAUUGAGAAUGUUGCUGUGCGUUCAGCCAUGCACCGCCAUGGGUGUUCACUGGGCUUUCUGACCUCUCGUGGCCUUCUUUUGUCCUUUUGAUGGUAUGGCUUCCUGUUUCCAGAAACCUGAUCUCUCUCAAGAAGAUCCUUGAUGUGCUUUGAGAUUUCACAGGGUGGCUGCUAGAGAGACGGCCCAAGCUCUGAAAACACUGGCCCAGGCCGCCCGUGGAGUGGCUGCAUCGACAACCGACCCCACGGCUGCCCAUGCCAUGUUAGAUUCUGCUCGAGACGUGAUGGAGGGCUCCGCCAUGCUCAUUCAAGAGGCCAAGCAGGCCCUGAUUGCACCUGGAGAUGCAGAGCGUCAACAAAGACUGGCUCAGGUGGCUAAAGCCGUCUCACACUCCUUGAAUAACUGCGUAAAUUGCCUCCCUGGGCAGAAGGAUGUGGACGUGGCCUUGAAGAGCAUUGGGGAGUCCAGCAAGAAGCUGCUUGUGGAUUUGCUACCUCCAAGCACGAAGCCUUUCCAGGAAGCCCAGAGUGAACUGAACCAGGCAGCAGCUGAUCUGAACCAGUCUGCUGGGGAAGUGGUCCAUGCCACCCGGGGCCAGAGUGGAGAGUUGGCUGCAGCCUCUGGAAAGUUCAGUGAUGAUUUUGAUGAAUUCCUCGAUGCUGGCAUUGAGAUGGCUGGCCAAGCUCAG